ACAAGAUGCUACCUUAUACCAGCUUGGGAUAUUUUAAGUCAGAAACAUCAGCAGAUGUCUAACCACAAGAGUGGCAGGGUAACUGAUAUAAUAAGCUAGAGAUAAAGGUUCUAGUAACCUAUGAUAGAAGGGAACCCCAACUACAAUAGGGGUUUGAAGUAAAAUUAAGAAAAAGGGAUGAAACCCCUAGAGAAUAUGGAUUUUGCAUGAUGACAUCAGCGUAACAGACCAAAGUUGUAUCCCAGCCUGUGUGCCUUGAGAGAUACAAGAAAUUGAUUCAAUAAAAGAUAUUACCUCACCCACCUUGUCACUCUGAUAUCCUGGGACCAACACAGCUACAACACUGCGUGGCUGGAGAGAUGCAACACAUGGGAGAUGCCAGGAUGAUGACUGGUGAUGUUGAGUCUGAUGAUAAGGAUGAAGACUAACACUUCGGGUCCUUUUGCAAGGGAUGGUUACAAUAUGAGACAAACCUACACAGGAUAAGAAUAUUCAUCAAUUGAAGAUGCAGACUCUUGACCUGAUCCAAUAUGUGGUUGUGGUUUGGUCUGGUCCAUUUCGGAGAUAAUCAUGACAGGAUGCUGUGUCUAGAUCACAUUUCUCCAGAGUUCAGGUACUUCUCUGACCCUCAUCAUCGGAAUAUCUGCGCCCCACACAGUCACAACUGGAUUUUACACUCCCAGCACUUCCGUAAGAUGCCAAAUGAGUAAUGAUGAUAGGAUGCUGUGUAACACUUCGGGCUGCGCUAUCAGAAUUUCACCCUUGGGAGAUCAGUAGGAAGGCAGUAAAAGUCCCAUAGGACGAGCAAGCUGAUAUGGCUGCACCACCAGCUGGAGUCAAAGUAUGGCUUGACCACAGCAAUACAAACAUCUUGUUUAGAGACUAGGAACCCUCUAUAACUGUGCAGCAGUAUACAGAGCCGUUAGCGGCUGAGUCUUCAUUAUAUCCUCAUCAAGGGAAGCUCUUUUACCGUUGGAGUAAACUAAGGGAGGGUCUUUUUCAUUUAUUUAUUUUAUUUUAAUUUAUUUCUCAUUAUUUU